rnacentral:rRNA from 1 species
UACAGAGGGUGCGAGCGUUGAUCGGAAUUACUGGGCGUAAAGCGUGCGUAGACGGCUAUCUAAGUCGGGUGUGAAAGCCCCGGGCUCAACCUGGGAAUUGCAUUCGAGACUGAAUAGCUAGGGUGCGGUAGAGGGAAGCGGAAUUUCCGGUGUAGCGGUGAAAUGCGUAGAUAUCGGAAGGAACAUCAGUGGCGAAAGCGGCUUCCUGGACCAGCACCGACGUCAGGCACGAAAGCGUGGGGAGCAAACAGG